rnacentral:misc_RNA from 1 species
GAAAUGCGAUAAGUAAUGUGAAUUGCAGAAUUCAGUGAAUCAUCGAAUCUUUGAACGCACCUUGCGCUCCUUGGUAUUCCUUGGAUCAUGCCUGUUUGAGUAUCAUGAAAUCUUCAAAGUAAAUCUUUUGUUAACUCAAUUGGUUUCUACUUUGGUAUUGGAGGUCUUUGCAGCUUCACACCUGCUCCUCUUUGUUCAUUAGCUGGAUCUCAGUGUUAUGCUUGGUUCCACUCGGCGUGAUAAGUUAUCUAUCGCUGAGGACACUGUAAAAGGUGGCCAAGGUAAAUGCAGAUGAACCGCUUCUAAUAGUCCAUUGACUUGGACAAUACUUUUAUGAUCUGAUCUCAAAUCAGGUAGGACUACCCGCUGAACUUAAGC